rnacentral:rRNA from 1 species
UGAGCCAAGUUUAGGGUUUUCUCAAAACCCAAGCAGUAUUGAACUGAAGAGUUUGAUCAUGGCUCAGAUUGAACGCUGGCGGCAGGCCUAACACAUGCAAGUCGAGCGGAUGAAGGGAGCUUGCUCCUGGAUUCAGCGGCGGACGGGUGAGUAAUGCCUAGGAAUCUGCCUGGUAGUGGGGGAUAACGUCCGGAAACGGGCGCUAAUACCGCAUACGUCC